rnacentral:lncRNA from 1 species
UUGACCCAAAGCUGAGCAGCAAGCACUAGAACUGAGGGAAAUCAUGGUGAGAUUUAUUCUGAGCCAAGCUGGAGGACUUAGGCCCAGGAACACAGAAUCUGUGUCCACUGAGAGUGUAUCUCAAAGCAGGCACCAUGAGGCACCGUGCACUUACAUUUUCUAACAGGCGGAUGUAUGUGGCCCAGAAGGUGGGAGAGGCAAGCGGUGAGCAGCCGUGACGUGCCUGAGAUUCUGAUGAGUGCUCGGUAGCACUGCCCACACGAUAAGAGGAAGUCAUGAGCGAAGAGACCGUGAGCCUCUCCCAAACCCCGCAUGUGCUGACAUCUCCACGUGUGCUGUGUCCUGGGUAGGCUUUCUUCAUAGACUGUGCUUCCGUCUGUCUGGAGUUUCCGCUUCAUCCAUCUGUCAACAGGGAGGAUGCACACCCCUGAGUCCGAGGCCACACCACGCAUUCUGUAGAAACUCUCACUGCCCAGGGAGCAUGCUUUAUUAGGAAAGCUCCAGGUUCACAGAGGCUCUGGGCUCUCUCUGGGCC